rnacentral:rRNA from 1 species
CGGGACACGUGGUAUCCUGUCUGAAUAUGGGGGGACCAUCCUCCAAGGCUAAAUACUCCUGACUGACCGAUAGUGAACCAGUACCGUGAGGGAAAGGCGAAAAGAACCCCGGCGAGGGGAGUGAAAAAGAACCUGAAACCGUGUACGUACAAGCAGUGGGAGCACGCUUAGGCGUGUGACUGCGUACCUUUUGUAUAAUGGGUCAGCGACUUAUAUUCUGUAGCAAGGUUAACCGAAUAGGGGAGCCGAAGGGAAACCGAGUCUUAACUGGGCGUUAAGUUGCAGGGUAUAGACCCGAAACCCGGUGAUCUAGCCAUGGGCAGGUUGAAGGUUGGGUAACACUAACUGGAGGACCGAACCGACUAAUGUUGAAAAAUUAGCGGAUGACUUGUGGCUGGGGGUGAAAGGCCAAUCAAACCGGGAGAUAGCUGGUUCUCCCCGAAAGCUAUUUAGGUAGCGCCUCGUGAAUUCAUCUCCGGGGGUAGAGCACUGUUUCGGCAAGGGGGUCAUCCCGACUUACCAACCCGAUGCAAACUGCGAAUACCGGAGAAUGUUAUCACGGGAGACACACGGCGGGUGCUAACGUCCGUCGUGAAGAGGGAAACAACCCAGACCGCCAGCUAAGGUCCCAAAGUCAUGGUUAAGUGGGAAACGAUGUGGGAAGGCCCAGACAGCCAGGAUGUUGGCUUAGAAGCAGCCAUCAUUUAAAGAAAGCGUAAUAGCUCACUGGUCGAGUCGGCCUGCGCGGAAGAUGUAACGGGGCUAAACCAUGCACCGAAGCUGCGGCAGCGACGCUUAUGCGUUGUUGGGUAGGGGAGCGUUCUGUAAGCCUGUGAAGGUGUGCUGUGAGGCAUGCUGGAGGUAUCAGAAGUGCGAAUGCUGACAUAAGUAACGAUAAAGCGGGUGAAAAGCCCGCUCGCCGGAAGACCAAGGGUUCCUGUCCAACGUUAAUCGGGGCAGGGUGAGUCGACCCCUAAGGCGAGGCCGAAAGGCGUAGUCGAUGGGAAACAGGUUAAUAUUCCUGUACUUGGUGUUACUGCGAAGGGGGGACGGAGAAGGCUAUGUUGGCCGGGCGACGGUUGUCCCGGUUUAAGCGUGUAGGCUGGUUUUCCAGGCAAAUCCGGAAAAUCAAGGCUGAGGCGUGAUGACGAGGCACUACGGUGCUGAAGCAACAAAUGCCCUGCUUCCAGGAAAAGCCUCUAAGCAUCAGGUAACAUCAAAUCGUACCCCAAACCGACACAGGUGGUCAGGUAGAGAAUACCAAGGCGCUUGAGAGAACUCGGGUGAAGGAACUAGGCAAAAUGGUGCCGUAACUUCGGGAGAAGGCACGCUGAUAUGUAGGUGAAGUCCCUCGCGGAUGGAGCUGAAAUCAGUCGAAGAUACCAGCUGGCUGCAACUGUUUAUUAAAAACACAGCACUGUGCAAACACGAAAGUGGACGUAUACGGUGUGACGCCUGCCCGGUGCCGGAAGGUUAAUUGAUGGGGUCAGCGCAAGCGAAGCUCUUGAUCGAAGCCCCGGUAAACGGCGGCCGUAACUAUAACGGUCCUAAGGUAGCGAAAUUCCUUGUCGGGUAAGUUCCGACCUGCACGAAUGGCGUAAUGAUGGCCAGGCUGUCUCCACCCGAGACUCAGUGAAAUUGAACUCGCUGUGAAGAUGCAGUGUACCCGCGGCAAGACGGAAAGACCCCGUGAACCUUUACUAUAGCUUGACACUGAACAUUGAGCCUUGAUG